CAGUAGUCUGAUUGCAUCGAGUGUAUAUGUUAUUCCCGAUUCUCUGAAUUCAACAUUCUGUUCUGAAUUCAACAUAACCUCAUUCAAUCAUCACCGCUCUUAGCCGGAAAGCACGCUGAACUAAAUCUCAAACGCCUUGAAGAAGUUCAACAAUACAUCACACAAGAUGGCCUCAGUUAUCCUUAUCUUCUCUCUUAUUUUUUGUGGCAGUUUAAUGUUGGUGCCUUCCGAUGUUUCUUGUAAGCCGGCACUUCGUUCGCUUCCAGGCAAUGCUUUGACAACGAACGCUAAACCAAUGGCAAAAAAAAUCGAGGUUUCGCCUUGCACCUGGGAAUACUGUCCAGACAGUCGCAAGAGACAGAGUGUCUCAGACUCUCUUCAGUAACAAGCUUCAAGUCAAGCAAACUGACUUAACCAGAUCCGAUGCAAAAAAUUUAACUUCAUAAAAAGUUACAUCGAAAAGAUGGCUCUUUGGAUUGUGCUUAUUUAAAAGUAAAUUUUAAACAACAAGAUAGAAUUUGCAGGAAAUGUAAAUUAUGAUAUAAAAUCAGUAUGAUAAAUAAAUUUGAUGGCAACAGACUA